ACGCACGCUGGCGGCGUGCCUAAUACAUGCAAGUUGAGCGAUGAAGAUUGGUGCUUGCACCAAUUUGAAGAGCAGCGAACGGGUGAGUAACGCGUGGGGAAUCUGCCUUUGAGCGGGGGACAACAUUUGGAAACGAAUGCUAAUACCGCAUAACAACUUUAAACAUAAGUUUUAAGUUUGAAAGAUGCAAUUGCAUCACUCAAAGAUGAUCCCGCGUUGUAUUAGCUAGUUGGUGAGGUAAAGGCUCACCAAGGCGAUGAUACAUAGCCGACCUGAGAGGGUGAUCGGCCACAUUGGGACUGAGACACGGCCCAAACUCCUACGGGAGGCAGCAGUAGGGAAUCUUCGGCAAUGGACGAAAGUCUGACCGAGCAACGCCGCGUGAGUGAAGAAGGGUUUCGGAUCGUAAAACUCUGUUGGUAGAGAAGAACGUUGGUGAGAGUGGAAAGCUCAUCAAGUGACGGUAACUACCCAGAAAGGGACGGCUAACUACGUG
rnacentral:rRNA from 1 species